rnacentral:lncRNA from 1 species
UUGUUGCUGGAAUAUUUUCCAAAAAGUAGUUGUUCUAGUUGGUCUAGGUGUAUAUAAACAAAACGUGUUAGCCUAUCAAAAAAUUGCUUGCUUCAGUAAUAUCUAAACAAAAAUCCAAGAAUUGCAAUGACAUGCUGCUUCAGUCAGUUUUCUGCUUGUUGGGUUGAGCACCGUAUGUGAUGACAUUGCUGGUUCAAUGUUAGCUUCCCUAUCACUAUUAAGUGAUUGAUAUAAAACUGCAAGUUCUUUGAUCCUUACUGAAACAACCCUGUGCAAAUAUAUUGCAAAUUAAUCAAAUUGCAAGGGCUAGAAAUAAGCAAAAGGCUAAAAAUGUUAAUCACCAAAUGAUAAACUGAAAUUUGUAAUAAAAAAUAGUCUAUACAGAAGAAAAUUUCAUGUAUCACUCAAAUAAGGCAUGAUAGUGAAUUGAAACAAUUUAAGUAUGCUCAUUGACACAUGUACGUCUACAAUACCGAUUUCUAAUUUCCAACUCCCUCAUUUUCACUGAGUCAUAUUUCAAACAGUCAAGCUAUAAACAAAGAUAGCACUUAUUCGAUUUAUCCCCUAGCCAUAAGCACAGAAAAUAUAAAUACAAAUACAUGCAUACCGAUACAAAAGAGAAAUAUAAAAUAACAAGGACUCGCCAGAAAGAUACAAUCUUCUGGUGCCUAAUGAGAUUAUCCAGUUGAGAUUCACCUCCUUAAAAGUUACUAAACACAAUAAAACAAACAAAUGAAAAUGGAAAUCCGAAGCAAAGUUAAGAAGCUUGGCACAGGAAGAAGACAGCUAAACCCAAAAAGAAACUGAAGAAACAAAGCCUACACAAUACUUUUGCUGAUAUGAAGGAGCUAGCAGACCUCAUAUUCCUUUUUUAAUAAGGUUCCUUAUAGGUCAGGACAUAUGCGAAGAAUAGUUAGCCAGCAAAGGCUUAUUCCAGAAUAAGAAUAUUCUAAGUCUCUGUAUUAAUUAGUUACGCUCAGGCGAUAUGCAUGGCUAUAUGCAUGUAGUCCUAAGUAAGCAUAUUAGAUCAACAUUAUUUUGAAAAGACAACAAUGGCAAACGUUCAAAAGAAAACUUGGGGGAAAAAUACCAACUUUAGAAGAUACUGACCAAAUAAUUUCCUCAACCCCUAGUAAACCAGAUAAUGAGAUACAUGUUUAAAACUCUUGAGUAGAAAAUCUACCAUUGCUUGAAAGAACAAAUAUUACUUGGGAUGAGAAGAAAGUGCAUCUGGUGAUUGCUUCUUCAUUCCAACAAACAAACUCUGUCACAACAGUAACAAAUAUGGCUGAUUUGUCGCAAGGUAAACACAGCAAAUAAUAAGCAAAUAGACAACUACUUCAAAAUUCUCACAUUCUCAUACUUUAAACCAAAAAAAUCUCCUUCUCAUAAUGUAAAACAUUGAACUUGCAUAUGAAGACAGUAAUUGAAAGCAUGUUUAAUUAUAUAUGUACAGUAAUUCAAACUUAAAAUAUUUUGAAGAAACUAAUAGCAGUCCCAAGACAUUUUAGUUUGUUCAUGACCAACAGAAUCAAAUCCACUUUGGAGUACAUAUUCUAUAGCAGCAUGACAAAACCAGUACACAUUGGUAAAGCUAAAUAUGUAGUAAAGCACUUCCUAUUCUAAACCCUAAGCAAUGCGAAAUAUGAAAUACUAAAUUAGAAAAGCCAAUUCACAACUCACAUGCUUUGUUUGAAUUCCAAGAACAACAAAAGUACACAAAUAAGAAAUAAAAACUCAAACAGCUUUGCAUAGUCAUUGAUUACUCUACAGUGCUGCUUCUCUAUACAGUCUAAAACAUUUUAAAACACUACCUAAAUUCCUCUGAGUUGUCAGUACAAAGCAGAGUUUAUAUGGAUUGUUGGACACAUGAAGUGACAAAAUGAAUCUCAAGAAAAUGAUUUAUUGAAAAAAGUUUAUGAGUGGCUCACUACUAACUAAUAUGAACUGAAACAAUUUCAGUAGCUAUUGCAGAAACCAUAACAAAAUAUCAUUAACACUUGUAUUAAACCACUGUAAUGUGUUUCCAAACAUGCCUUCUAACACUAUAUAAAAUCAACAGAACAAACAGAACCAUGGAAAAUAAAACAUAGAAGUUAAUCACAAGUUAAUCACAACCUCUUCGGUACAACAAACAGAAGUAAAACCCAUAACGAAUAUUGAUCUAUAUAUAUAUAU